UCUCUCUCUCUCUCACACACACACACACACACACACACACACACGUACACGCACGCACACACGGAACAUCCUCCCGUCAGGUUUCCCGGUCCAGCCCCGCCCGCGUCUCCAGCUUCCCGCAGACCGUCUCCCUGCAUCCUUACACACCUCGCCUCUCCAUUCUUUCCGGCUCCGGGACCCUCCCCUCCAAUCCCCCAACAACACUCUGGGAUGGAGCGACUGGAGCCAGCCCGGAGCCCCCCGCGGCCGGGGUGAAAGUCCUCCGCCCCUCUCUCGCCCGGCACUCGGAGCAACAUGGGCCUGAGGGGUUCUCGGGGCGCUGGACGCUGGAAAUGACGGAUGCUGGAGCUCUCUUGAGUCAUGGCUUCCUCAAAGCUCCGAGAACCUGUGGAUGAAGUUUUUGACCUGGACUUGGCUGUACCAGAGACCACCAGACUGGACAGCAGCUUACACAAAGCCCGGGCCCAGCUGCUGGCCAAGGGCCGGAGACACCGACCUUCCCGUUCCAGGCUACGUGACAGUGCCAGCUCUGCUGAGGACGGUGAAGGCUCUGAUGGGCCCGGAGG